GACAGAGGGUGCAAACGUUGCUCGGAAUGACUGGGCGUAAAGGGCGCGUAGGCGGUUUGUACAGUCAGGUGUGAAAUUCCCGGGCUCAACCUGGGGGCUGCACUUGAUACGUAUGAACUGGAGUGGGGAAGAGGGUCGUGGAAUUCCCAGUGUAGAGGUGAAAUUCGUAGAUAUUGGGAAGAACACCGGUGGCGAAGGCGGCGACCUGGUCCUUGACUGACGCUGAGGCGCGAAAGCGUGGGGAGCAAACAGG
rnacentral:rRNA from 1 species